rnacentral:lncRNA from 1 species
CAAGGGAUGAGGGGUUGCGGGAGACCAAAUCAGAGGAACGCGACAGAAGAAAAUUGAGGAGAAAAGGCCCAUAAAUGGCAAGAAGAAAAACGAAGGUUCCGGGACUAACCUAGAUCGCUCUGAAGGAUGCAGAGGGGCGAGGACAGGGAUGACUCGAAGGAUGCCUAGGGCCAAAGAAGACGCCAAGGAGGGUCAGGGCUCUCGAAGAAAAGGCGGAUACUGAUAGAACUUUCAGGCGGAAUAGGGCCCCUAAAGGCGGA